UGGGGAAUCUUGCACAAUGGGCGAAAGCCUGAUGCAGCAACGCCGCGUGCGGGAAGACAGCCCUAGGGUUGUAAACCGCUUUCAGCAGGGAAGAAACUGACGGUACCUGCAGAAGAAGAUGCGGCCAACUACGUGCCAGCAGCCGCGGUGACACGUAGGCAUCAAGCGUUAUCCGGAUUUAUUGGGCGUAAAGAGCUCGUAGGCGGUUCGGUAAGUCGGGUGUGAAAACUCUGGGCUCAACCCAGAGAGGCCACUCGAUACUGCUGUGACUAGAGUGCGGUAGGGGAGCGGGGAAUUCCUGGUGUAGCGGUGAAAUUCGUAGAUAUUUGGAGGAACACCAGUGGCGAAGGCGGCUCACUGGCUCGAUACUGACGCUGAGGUGCGAAAGUGUGGGGAGCAAACAGGAUUAGAUACCCUGGUAGUCCACACCGUAAACGAUGAAUGUUAGCCGUC
rnacentral:rRNA from 1 species